rnacentral:ncRNA from 1 species
AAGGGUAUGGCUGUUCGCCAUUUAAAGAGGUACGUGAGCUGGGUUUAAAACGUCGUGAGACAGUUUGGUCCCUAUCUGCCGUGGGCGUUGGAUAUUUGAAGGGGGCUGCUCCUAGUACGAGAGGACCGGAGUGGACGAACCUCUGGUGUACCGGUUGUCACGCCAGUGGCAUCGCCGGGUAGCUAUGUUCGGAAGAGAUAACCGCUGAAAGCAUCUAAGCGGGAAACUCGCCUUAAGAUGAGAUAUCCCCGGGGACUUGAUCCCCUUGAAGGGUCGUUCUAGACCAGGACGUUGAUAGGUCAGGUGUGGAAGUGCAGUAAUGCAUUAAGCUAACUGAUACUAAUUGCCCGUAAGGCUUGAUCCU